rnacentral:rRNA from 1 species
AUACGGAGGAUGCGAGCGUUAUCCGGAUUUAUUGGGUUUAAAGGGAGCGUAGGUGGGAUAUUAAGUCAGCUGUGAAAGUUUGGGGCUCAACCUUAAAAUUGCAGUUGAUACUGGUUUCCUUGAGUACGGUAUAGGUGGGCGGAAUUCGUGGUGUAGCGGUGAAAUGCUUAGAUAUCACGAAGAACUCCGAUCGCGAAGGCAGCUCACCGGGCCGGAACUGACACUGAUGCUCGAAAGUGCGGGUAUCAAACAGGAUUAGAUACCCUGGUAGUCCGCACAGUAAACGAUGAAUACUCGCUGUUUGCGAUACACGGUAAGCGGCCAAGCGAAAGCGUUAAGUAUUCCACCUGGGGAGUACGCCGGCAACGGUGAAACUCAAAUGAAUUGGCGGGG